UACGAAGGGUGCAAGCGUUACUCGGAAUUACUGGGCGUAAAGCGUGCGUAGGUGGUGAGUUAAGUCUGUCGUGAAAGCCCCGGGCUCAACCUGGGAAUGGCGAUGGAUACUGGCUCGCUAGAGUGCGGUAGAGGGUAGUGGAAUUCCCGGUGUAGCGGUGAAAUGCGUAGAGAUCGGGAGGAACACCAGUGGCGAAGGCGGCUACCUGGACCAGCACUGACACUGAGGCACGAAAGCGUGGGGAGCAAACAGG
rnacentral:rRNA from 1 species